UGGGGAAUCUUGCGCAAUGGGCGAAAGCCUGACGCAGCCAUGCCGCGUGAAUGAUGAAGGUCUUAGGAUUGUAAAAUUCUUUUAGCAGGGACGAUAAUGACGGUACCUGCAGAAAAAGCCCCGGCUAACUUCGUGCCAGCAGCCGCGGUAAUACGAAGGGGGCUAGCGUUGCUCGGAAUUACUGGGCGUAAAGUGAGCGUAGGCGGGUUAUCAAGUUGGAGGUGAAAGCCCAGGGCUCAACCUUGGAAUAGCCUUCAAAACUGAUAGCCUAGAGUAUGAUAGAGGUAAGUGGAACUCCGAGUGUAGAGGUGAAAUUCGUAGAUAUUCGGAAGAACACCAGUGGCGAAGGCGACUUACUGGAUCAUGACUGACGCUGAGGCUCGAAAGCGUGGGGAGCAAACAG
rnacentral:rRNA from 1 species